GCCCCCAUCGUCUAGCGGCCUAGGACGUCAGCCUUUCAAGCUGAAGAUCAGGGGUUCGAAUCCCCUUGGGGGCACCA
rnacentral:tRNA from 1 species